rnacentral:tRNA from 1 species
AUAAAUAUAGCUUAUAUAAAGCACCUAACUGUUAAUUAGAAGAAUUAUUAUUUAUA